CAUCCCUAGUUACAAUUGCAUGAAGGUUGGUGAGGGCAUCUGGUUCAAGUAGCCUAGGGCGAUGACGCCAUCAGUAACUGGAAGAAGAUGAUUAGACAGUGAAAUUAUUACUUGAGCCAGAAUAUUGCCCCAUCUAAUUUGUAACGUGCUGUGUUGCGUGUACAUAUUUAAUUAUUUUGAAUAACCAACCUCUUAUAAAGGCAUUUCUAUCCUGGAGGGUGGGGGGGGUCAGAGGAGCUCCCCCCAGGGAUGCCCUCAGCCACAGGACGCAAACUCUGUGGCUGAGGGCCAUCUCCUCAGCCUCUGUGAGGGCUGCAGGUGGUGGACCCCCUCCAGUCUUCCGGGCCUCUGCUUUUUUUCGAUUUGCUAACAUGGAGGAAAAUGUUACCCUAAAAUUCAGUAAGCGCUAUUUUGAAGACAUAUAUAUAUAUAUGUAAUGCAUCGAUUUUUUAUUUUUAAAUUGUGGCUCUGUUUUACAUAAACUAAAAUUGUAGAUACUGUACAUAAUUUCCAAUUGGAUGCGUGAAACCGAGGCAUAGUUGCAACUUAUCAGUGGGGCUGUUCUGACCCUAUUUUUUUUUAUUACAGCCUGGUGGCUUAUCCUGUUACAACUGUGUUCUAAGCUUUUAUGCAUGUUUAGGAGGGUUAAGAAUAGCAGAAGUAUUGUACUGUUAAAUUGACUUUCCUGUAUACUGUGUUCACAGAAACUUGGCUCAGAUCUUAGCCCCUGGGCCUUGGAAGACUCUUACUGUGGAUGAUCUUCAGGGUGCACCCAGGCAAGGUUUUUCCAACAACUGUGGGGUGUUUGUGUUGAUGUACGCAAUGUACAUUGUCAUGGAUGGAAGGUGGGACUUUGCUGAGUCAAACAUGAAGCAAAUACGGCGAUGGUGGUGCCUGGUUCUUUUGAAGAACUUCCCCAUGCCGUCUGCAGAGGAGCUUUCAGGAAGCAGGAAGAGAAGACGGGAGGGAAUAAAGCUAUUGGAUAAAGAUCUCUGCACAAAAAGGGCUAGAGUUGCUCCAACAGCAUCCAGCUCUGAAGGAUCAGAGCAGAGGAGAAUGUCUGUGGCGAUCCGGAGAUGGUUGGUCGGGUGGAUUGCCGGACAGGUAGUCACCCUCGACGGUUCGGAGGAACUGGUAUUCCUGCAGGAGAGGAGAGUCGAGUGGUGAACGAGAACAACGAGAAUACUAGGAAAAGGCUAGAGAGGUCGGAGGAUAACUUAACUAGGUAAGUGUAGUUGACGAUCUGGCGACGAAAGGUUGAAUGACUGGGGAAGAUAUACAGGUGGGCGUGAUUGGUGAUGAUGGUCAGGUGCGGGUGAUCACCGUGGCUGGGUUGGGGAGUUCAGCAGGCCACGCCCCCGUACAUGAAACAGAACAUGGACAGACAAGACAAACAGAGAAAACUAGCGGCAGCUAGGAUCCGGUGGGAGAGACCGUGACAGUACCCCCCCCUCUACGAACGCCUCCUGGCGGACGUCUGGCAGUAGGAUGCGCUUUAUGGAAAUCCGAAAUCAAUGUAUCAUCCAUGAUCAUAUUCCGUGACAGCCAUUGCCGGUGUUCUGGUCCGUAACCCUCCCAAUCCACCAGGUACU